rnacentral:rRNA from 1 species
AUGAUCAAUAGAGAAUUCCUUAUGGAUAUGAUGAAGAGGAGGGGUUUUAGCAAUAAGUGGAUGGGUAAAGUGGAAUCUCUCAUUUUCAAAGGCUCUGUUGGUGUCAGAGUUAAUGACAGCAACAGUGAGUUCUUUGUCCCUAGCAAGGGUGCCAGACAAGGAGAUCCCUUUUCCGCCCUCCUUUUCAAUCUAGUUGCUGAUGUCUUUACUAGAAUUUUAAUUAAAGCCUCUAUUAAUAACAAAGUAGAAGGCCUUUUUCCUGUCACAAAUCCUGUGGGCAUCAUUAGCAUGCAAUAUGCAGACGACACUUUGCUCUUUUUGGCCAAAAACCUUUCUUUUGCUAAAAACCUUAAGUGGUUACUGUCUUGUUUUGAACAGUUAUCAGGAAUGAGGAUCAAUUUCCAUAAAUGUGAUCUGGUUCCAAUUAACAUUGACCGUGAGGAAGCAAAUUUGUUUGCUCAGGUUCUGGGGUGUAAACUUGGAGAUUUCCCUAUCAAACAUUUAGGGGCCCCUCUUCACUAUAAUAAACUUAGAAAAGAGGACUUACAACCCACUGUAGAUAAAAUUAUUAAGAAGGGAGCCGGUUGGAGAGGGAGAUUACUUUCCUCUGGUAAGCGGCUUACCCUUGUCCAGUCUUGUUUAUCUAGAAUUCCCUGCUAUCUUAUGGGAAUUAUUAAAUUCCCUAAGUGGGCCACUAAUAUGAUAAACUCUCAACUUGCUCACUACUUUUGGGAUGACUAUGAAGGUCAUCAUAAAUACCACCUAGCUGCUUGGGGAAAUAUUGCCUUGAAGAAACAGUAUGGUGGGUUGGGCAUCCCUGACAUUGGUGAUAUGAAUCUUAGCCUGCUAGCAUCGUGGGCUAAGAGAUAUUUGAAUGAUGAUGGUAAAAUUUGGAAACAAAUCAUUGAUGCCAAAUAUAAAACUUGCAAACCUAACAGUUUUGCCUGCCCUGAUAUUGGAGCCUCCCCCCUUUGGAAAGGCAUACUUUGGGCUAUUAAAGCUGCGAAAAUUGGCUUUUCCUGGAAGGUGGGUAAUGGCAAGAGUAUUAGGUUUUGGGAAGAUCGUUGGACUGGAAAUUCUACACUUGCAACUAGUUUUUGGGAGUUGUAUAAUAUUGCCAAUACUACCAAUGUCUCCAUCAGUGAGGUGUGGGAUGGCGUGACCCUGAAAAUUAACUUUAGGAGAUGUUUUUCGCCGGACAUGCUAGCUGCUUGGAAUGAGCUUUUCAGUGUAGUCAAGGAUCUGAGCUUAAAUGAUUGUGAUGACACUAUUAUUUGGGAUCUGGAGCCUAAGGGUUAUACACUGUUAAAUCUUAUUAUAAUUUUGUGA